rnacentral:rRNA from 1 species
UACUGCCCACCCGGCGGUGAAGAAGACCAGGGCGAGCAGCCGACGAGGAUAAAACAAAAGGAAACGCUUUCGGGCAGCAGGUUAGGGGAGCGGGUGUACGGCGUUGGGAGGGAAGGAGGAGGAGAGGGAGAGAGAGAUUCGCCGGCGGUGUUGUGCUUCGGUGUUUGGGAUCGGGGGAGGAAGAGGGAACGUACACACGAGCAGCGGCGGAAGGGGGGAGAAGGGGUAGCAACGCGGUUACGGAGGUGGCCGAUGUUACCUAGGUACCGACUACCCACCCAUGCUCCGUCGCUUCCUGCGGCAGGAGCUGGGUAGCGAAUCCGACCACCUCGUGUACAAUCCAAACCCGCGUUCCUGACCGUGGCCGCCCCUUUUCGCAGCCCCCAACUACGUCGCCGUUUAUGCCCGUCCCAGCCGGCGUCUCCCUCCGAGCGCCAGGCCUCGUCGUCGUCGUUUCUCCGUCCAGCCGGUACCUUCCCACCGAGCGGCCGGCCUCGUCAUCCUCGUUCCUCCGCCCCAGCUGGCACCUUCCCUCCGAGCGACCGUCUUCGUCGUCCUCGUUAACGUCGUCCACGAUCAGCCGGGCUGCGUGGCACAGUCGGAGCGGAAGAAUCAACGCCGGGUGUGCGAGCUCUCCCCGUCGACACGGCAGUGACCACCGUUCAAGUCGCCUGCGGUGGAGGAGAAGAUAAGCUUGGGUCAUUCGGGAGAGCACUCUCGUAGUCCCCUACAGCACGGGAGUUUUAGUCUAACAAUAAGGAACAGUCCCUCCUAUUAUAAGUAAACUGCUACAGCACGGGAGUUGUAGUCUAACAAUAAGGAACAGUCCCUCCUAUUAUAAGUAAACUUCCUGAAUAAUCCGGGUCUUAUAAAUCGACCAUUCUAUGGUACAAACAUACUAAGUAGGUAGAGAGAUUAAGACUGGAAUGUCUAGUUGAAUAGAGGGACGUGGGAAGAUUUAGACCACGACGAUGUAAAAAAGAAUGUACCCAUAUACAUACUCUAAAAAAGCAAAUCCAUAUAAACACGGAUUUUCUUCAAGUGUAGAUAAAAGAACAAUCUACUCAGACGAAGGCAAACGAGCGACAUGCAUCCAACGUCCUUACUCUUAUGAAUACCCUAGUGUACUUACUCGACAACUUCAGGACCUACGAGGUUUUAACAUAGUAACUAGGGUGUGUCACCAAUGUUAGGGUCAGAAACUUAGUGUUAUCUGUUCUGGUAUAAAGUGGAAAACAUAUCAGGUUGAUUAUUAUGUGUACCCCGGACCACUACCAAAAGUUAUAUAACACUAUCAUCAAAGCACGUAACUAAUAAAUUACUCGGUGGGAAGACAAAGGUUGAGCUUGACCACGUUAUCAAUUUAUCUACACAAGCACGGUAAAUCGGAGGUUUAAGUCAAGUCAAGCCGACAUGUAGAAAACGGCUGGGGAAAAGAACCAUGACUAACUGGAAACAUACAAAUAUAAAAAAAAUAACGUCAAAAGGAAGUCAGGAAGGAGAAUCGCAUAUUAGAACUAACACACUCAAAGAAAGGACCGUCCCAUAAAUACUAAGUCUGGUAAGAUAUUGUUUUACGUAUAUACAGGAGUACCAUCCUCAAGUCGAAGUCUCACGUAGUUCAAACACAGUUUAAAUAACAAGAUAAAACCUUGUCAUAUGAAGGUGUUCAAAAAAAGAUUGCUAAUGUAUAUUAUGAAGGUGUAUAGUAGAAUGUUUUACCUUCAUGUCUCCUUAAUCAUAUAUCUUCAAUACUAACAACACGUCCCACUAGAGACUUCUACCUAACGUCCAUUCAUCUAAUUGUUAAAUCAUGACUGGGAUAAAGACAACUAUGAAGUAAAAUGAGUUAGAAAGCAUUACUAGCAUUCGUAUUUCAACCCAACGUAACGGUACAUUGCUUACCUAUAGGAUUUGGACUCUUUCAUGGUUGCGUCUACUAACAAACAAUCCUUAUAGUAGUACAAUAAUGUCAUUUCUACCGAUAGACAUCGUGGAAGAUAUCUAGCCAAAUGAUAAUCCUUAUAGUAAGUUGGAGACAUGAUACAUAAUGGCGAUGUUUAAACCGAUCCCUUAGACAGAGUAAAAUUACAACGCUACUUAACCAACCCUACCUCUCGCAAAAAAUGAACUGAUAAAAAACUGGAUAUAUAGAAAGACAAAACACGUUCAAGUUUCAUAAUCAUCAAAGUCAAACUGGUUAAAAACGUCCCUAUAACACACUCCAGACCAUGUUUGAAAUUCUAUUAGUGAAUUAUGUAAGUACCCUAUUGGUUGAAAACCGCAAACUACUAUGAUCGAUCCACCCCGGUACUUAAGGAUCUUACAACACCGUUAAUAGGACGAAGCGAACGUUCUAACCAAAGAUUUUUAUAGUACCAUCAACAUUAAAGUCUAACGACGACUAAACUGAUUUAUACAAAACUAACAAAAAUUCGAAACAAAGAAAUGACACACGUUUUGAUUAAGUAAGGAUUGAUUUAGAAAGUUACCAACUACCCUUGUGAUGUCUAGAACGAAGAGACGAAAAAAGUACAUGUUUGGCUCCGUACACCCGCACUACCGCCCGUAGAGGCCGUCGCCGCCGCUGGACGUCCGUUCUCCGUUGCCGACCCCACAAACUAAACUAGGUCGCGGUACCGGGCCAGGGACGCCCUCUCUCUCUACUCCCUGUCUCUCUCUUCCUUCCUCUCCUCCCUCUUUCUCUCUCCCUCCACUUACGUGACCUGAGAAGUUCUAGCUCCCGUGGUAACCUUUCCGGCUCACGCAGGUAGCUGUCGGACGGGUCACAGGCCUAAGUGGUUCGUCAUGUUGGCCUCUGCGACAGCCGACGGACGUCGUCCGUGGUUCGGCGGGCGACAACAGAGAAGGGCUUCUUCCUAAUACCAAGAGGUGGAGAAACGAUGAGUAUAAUUUGAAGGCUGAGGAAAUAAAACGGUAUUUCCCGUCCUCGACACGGUAAACUGAACUGCCUGUUUCGCAAGUAGUGUUCCCCCACCAGAAAUCCUAUAUAUGUGUUUUCUCCUUUAAAGGAAAACAUAUCUUGGUUUAAUAUAUUACAUUAAGUCAAGUUUAAAAAAUAUACUACAUUAACUGGUGAUAAAAAUACUCUAAGAGG